rnacentral:rRNA from 1 species
CACGUAGGGGCCAAGCGUUGUCCGGAUUUAUUGGGCGUAAAGAGCUCGUAGGCGGUUUGUCGCGUCUGCCGUGAAAGUCCGGGGCUCAACUCCGGAUCUGCGGUGGGUACGGGCAGACUAGAGUGAUGUAGGGGAGACUGGAAUUCCUGGUGUAGCGGUGAAAUGCGCAGAUAUCAGGAGGAACACCGAUGGCGAAGGCAGGUCUCUGGGCAUUAACUGACGCUGAGGAGCGAAAGCAUGGGGAGCGAACAGG